CACUUUGUGCAGUGGCAGUAUCGUAGCCAAUGAGGUUAAUCCGAGGCGCGAUUAUUGCUAGUUGAAAACUUUUCCCAAUACCCUGCCAUGACAACUUGAAAUAUAGUCAGCAUUGGCAACAAUGGUUUUUUUUGCC
rfam:Picoides pubescens contig42926, whole genome shotgun sequence.